rnacentral:rRNA from 1 species
UAGGGAAUCUUCGGCAAUGGACGAAAGUCUGACCGAGCAACGCCGCGUGAGUGAAGAAGGUUUUCGGAUCGUAAAACUCUGUUGUUAGAGAAGAACAAGGACGUUAGUAACUGAACGUCCCCUGACGGUAUCUAACCAGAAAGCCACGGCUAACUACGUGCCAGCAGCCGCGGUAAUACGUAGGUGGCAAGCGUUGUCCGGAUUUAUUGGGCGUAAAGCGAGCGCAGGCGGUUUCUUAAGUCUGAUGUGAAAGCCCCCGGCUCAACCGGGGAGGGUCAUUGGAAACUGGGAGACUUGAGUGCAGAAGAGGAGAGUGGAAUUCCAUGAGUAGCGGUGAGAUGCGUAGAUAUAUGGAGGAACACCAGUGGCGAAGGCGGCUCUCUGGUCUGUAACUGACGCUGAGGCUCGAAAGCGUGGGGAGCAAACAGG